rnacentral:rRNA from 1 species
UACGUAGGGCGCAAGCGUUGUCCGGAAUUAUUGGGCGUAAAGAGCUCGUAGGCGGCUUGUCACGUCGGGUGUGAAAGCCCGGGGCUUAACCCCGGGUCUGCAUUCGAUACGGGCUAGCUAGAGUGUGGUAGGGGAGAUCGGAAUUCCUGGUGUAGCGGUGAAAUGCGCAGAUAUCAGGAGGAACACCGGUGGCGAAGGCGGCAUCCUGGACCGGUAUUGACGCUGAGGCGCGAAAGCGUGGGGAGCAAACAGG